AUGAACGCUAGCGAUAGGCUUAACACAUGCCAGUCGCGGGGCAGCAUGGUCUUAGCUUGCUAAGACUGAUGGCGACCGGCGCACGGGUGCGUAACGCGUAUGCAACUUGCCUCACAGAGGGGGAUAACCCGUCGAAAGACGGACUAAUACCGCGUACACUCUAUUUUGGGCAUCCAAGGUAGAGGAAAUGAAAUUCGCUGUGAGAUAGGCAUGCGUCCCAUUAGCUAGUUGGUGAGGUAACGGCUCACCAAGGCGACGAUGGGUAGGGGAACUGAGAGGUGGAACCCCCACACUGGUACUGAGACACGGACCAGACGCCUACGGGAGGCAGCAGUGAGGAAUAUUGGGAAAUGGGCGAGGGCCUGAACCAGCCAAGUCGCGUGAAGGAUGACUGUCUUAUGGAUUGUAAACUUCUUUUGUAGGGGAAUAAAGAGGGGCACGUGUGCCCCAGUGAAUGUACCCUACGAAUAAGCAUCGGCUAACUCCGUG
rnacentral:rRNA from 1 species